rnacentral:rRNA from 1 species
AGAUUAAGCCAUGCAUGUCUCAGUGCAGGCCUUCAUACGGUGAAACCGCGAAUGGCUCAUUAAAUCAGCUAUGGUUUAUUGGAUCGUACCCGUUAAAUGGAUAACUGUAAUAACUCUAGAGCUAAUACAUGCCUCGAUGCCCUGACUCUCCGGUUGCCGUCUCUGCCUAGGCGGUGGAUUGGAGAGGAAGGGUGCACUUAUUAGAUCAGAAGCCAACCUUACUUGGCCCGUGUGGUUGUAAAUCGCCUAACGGCGGUUGCAGCUGUGGGCCAGGCAUGAUGACCUUCUGGUGACUCUGGAUAAUUGUUACAGAUCGCAGUCGGCCUUGAGUCGGCGACGGGUCCUUCAAAUGUCUGCCCUAUCAACUUUCGAUGGUAGGUGACCUGCCUACCAUGGUUAUAACGGGUAACGGGGAAUCAGGGUUCGAUUCCGGAGAGGGAGCCUGAGAAACAGCUACCACUUCCAAGGGAGGCAGCAGGCGCGCAAAUUACCCACUCCCGGCACGGGGAGGUGGUGACGAAAAAUACCGAUGCGGGACUCCUUAAAGAGGCUCCGUAAUCGGAAUGAGUGGACUAUAAAUCCUUUCACGAGGAUUCAUUGGAGGGCAAGUCUGGUGCCAGCAGCCGCGGUAACU